UACGGGGGGGGCAAGCGUUGUUCGGAAUUACUGGGCGUAAAGGGCUCGUAGGCGGCCCUCUCAGUCGGAUGUGAAAUCCCCAGGCUUAACCUGGGAACUGCAUUCGAGACUGCAUUGCUAGAGUAUGGGAGAGGGAAGUGGAAUUUCAGGUGUAGCGGUGAAAUGCGUAGAUAUCUGAAGGAACAUCAGUGGCGAAAGCGACUUCCUGGACCAAUACUGACGCUCAUGUGCGAAAGCGUGGGGAGCAAACAGG
rnacentral:rRNA from 1 species